AUUGAACGCUGGCGGCAGGCCUAACACAUGCAAGUCGAGCGGAUGAAGGGAGCUUGCUCCUGGAUUCAGCGGCGGACGGGUGAGUAAUGCCUAGGAAUCUGCCUGGUAGUGGGGGAUAACGUCCGGAAACGGGCGCUAAUACCGCAUACGUCCUGAGGGAGAAAGUGGGGGAUCUUCGGACCUCACACUAUCAGAUGAGCCUAGGUCGGAUUAGCUAGUUGGUGGGGUAAAGGCCUACCAAGGCGACGAUCCGUAACUGGUCUGAGAGGAUGAUCAGUCACACUGGAACUGAGGCACGGUCCAGACUCCUACGGGAGGCAGCAGUGGGGAAUAUUGGACAAUGGGCGAAAGCCUGAUCCAGCCAUGCCGCGUGUGUGAAGAAGGUCUUCGGAUUGUAAAGCACUUUAAGUUGGGAGGAAGGGCAGUAAGUUAAUACCUUGCUGUUUUGACGUUACCAACAGAAUAAGCACCGGCUAACUUCGUG
rnacentral:rRNA from 1 species